rnacentral:rRNA from 1 species
UGGGGAAUAUUGGGGCAAUGGGGGAAACCCUGACCCAGCAACGCCGCGUGAAGGAAGAAGGCCUUCGGGUUGUAAACAUUCUUUUAUGCAGGGACGAAGGACGUGACGGUACCUGCAGAAAAAGCAACGGCUAACUACGUGCCAGCAGCCGCGGUAAUACGUAGGUUGCGAGCGUUGUCCGGAAUUACUGGGUGUAAAGGGCGUGUAGGCGGAGCUGCAAGUCAGAUGUGAAAUGUCAUGGCUCAACCAUGGAACUGCAUUUGAAACUGUGGCCCUUGGGUAUCGGAGAGGCAAGCGGAAUUCCUAGUGUAGCGGUGAAAUGCGUAGAUAUUAGGAGGAACACCAGUGGCGAAGGCGGCUUGCUGGACGACAACUGACGCUGAGGCGCGAAAGCGUGGGGAGCAAACAGGAUUAGAUACCC